rnacentral:lncRNA from 1 species
GAAUGAUGAAGCGAGUGGGAAUGAUACUGAGUUUUAGACACCUGUGAAACGCUCAGUGGAGAGCCACCAGGAAGGUGUACAGACACGUCAGAAGAGCUACCUGGGAAAGAGAUGGACACAGUCAGUAGAAAAGAUGGUUGAGAUUAUGCAAAGACGCUGAGCAUGGAAAGGAGCUGAGGGUUCAUGGAAGGUUUGAGGAGGAAAGCACUGUGUGAGACAGCUAAUUGGGACAAAGUUCAGGAGGGAAUGAAGAUAAUCAACAGAGCAAGAUUUCUGAGAAGGCAGAAGAUGGGAAGUCGGAACAUAGACAAAGAGUCAGUCGUAAACAAGAGACGUAAAAAUUCUCACACAAUCACUGUAGAAGAGGAGAAAAAAGUGGGGAUUACGGAAGAUUCUAAAUCAGCUAAAAUUCAGUUCGGCUGCAUAAAACAGAAAUUCCAAAACAAGCAGCUUAACAACAUGACUGCUUUUUUCCCGAGCAAAAGAAGUCUAGAGACUAAAGUCGGCACACACCAGUUAUAUCAAGACUGGAAAGGAGGCUCCGCUGUCUUCAGGAAUCCAGCCAUCUUUCCUCUUUCUGCUCCACGGUUCUUAGAACAUAACUACGUUUCUCAAGGUCAUAAAGCAGCUGCUUGGGCGUUAGCCAUUGUGGACGAUUUCCAAGCCGUAGGAAGAAAACAGGCACAAAGGGCAAAGGUCAAGUCAAUCAGAUCCUCUGGAGAAGCCUUUCCUGACACAUUCACACAGCACUCCAUUUACAUUUACUAACGGGACCACUACUUACUGCCAGAGUGGCUGGAAAAGUCAUCAGAAUUCUAUGUCUAUGGCAAAACCAAUACAAUAUUGUAAAGUAAAAAUAAUAAUAAUAAUAAUUUAAAAAAUUUAAAAAAAAAGAAUUCUAUGUCUUUGGAAGAAACCAAGAAUGGAUAUGAGUAGGCAAGUAACACACUGCCACAACUCCAUACUAUACGUUCUGUUGAUAAAUGUAUUUCUAUUUCUAACAAACCUAUUUCAGUAUUUUUAUAUCAAUAUCAACAAUAAUAUCCAUGACUUUCCCCUGCAAAAAAUGAGACCUGUGUCAUGUAUAAUUUUGUAUAUAAUUUACCCCUCUUUCCUAUUUGGUCUGCAAAAUUUUGAUGAGAUUAUAAUUUUAUUUCAGAUAUUGUUAAUUUGUAUUGUUAUAAUGUAUAAUAAUGGACUUCCCAAGUGGUGCAGUGGUAAAGAAUCCGCCUGCCAAGCAGGAGACACAGGUUUGAUCCCUGGGUCAGGAAGAUCCUCUGGAGAAGGAAAUGGCAAGCUACUCCAGUAUUCUUGCCUGGAAAAUCCCAUGGACGGAGGAGCCUGGCAGGCUACAGUCCAUUGGGUUGCAGAGUCAGACAUGACUGAGCAACUUUUAGUUUCACUUUCUGUUGUCUUCUCUUUCUCUUUUCAAUGAGUAUAUAUUCUCCUGGACUUAUCCUCUAUAUCUCUUAACAUUAGUCCCAUUAUUUCUGUUGUCUUUUUGCUUUACGUUACAAAAAAAAAAAAAUCCCUUAUUUUCCAAAUUACUGAUUUAGCUUUCAGUCAUGUGCUUUCAGUUACUUAGCCCUCCUAUUCAUUAUUUUACUUUUAGAAUCAUCUUUUAAAAUUAUAAAUCUUUCUUGUUUAGAAAUUUGCUCUUCUUCAUUGAAAUCUACCCUAGUUUUAUGGAUUUAAUAUCCACUCAAGGUUUCCUAAAUAAUUAUAAUUUUUGUGUGAAAUGAAAAAACAUUUGCUUCAUCACGAAUUGAAGUGAAAGUGUUAGUCACUCAGUCGUGUCUGACCCUUUGCAACCCCAUGGACUAUAGCCUCUGUCCAUGGGAUUCUCCAGGCAAGGAUACUGGAGCAGGUUGCCAUUCCCUUCUCCAAGGGAUCUUCCUGACCCAGGGGUUGAACCGGGGCACGCUUCCUGGCAGGCGGCUUCUUUACCAUCUGAGCCACCAGGGAAGCCCCCCUAUUAGUUACUCUAUAUUUUUAUCUUGAUUCUUUUUUUUUCAAACUGUUCUUUUUCUGCAAAUAUUUGGUAAUUCUUUGUUUUAAAUGAAGCACCUUUAGUUCUUUCUCUUCCACCACGUUAUCAUGCUAUAAGUAGCUGGCAUAGGUUUCCAUCAUAGAUGGCCUUCCUUCUCCUGGAAAGCCUAAUGGAGCAAGCAUGAUGAGGGUGUUGACAGAACGGUUUCUUAUUAAGAUGCGUAGAUGCUAUGGAAAUAGGGUCAACAGGGAGGCCAGUGUCCCCCCUGAAGAACAAUUUUACCUUUCUUUUAUCCUCUGUGACCAUCCGAAGCCCCAGAGUCACGAGAGGCCCUGGUUCACUCCUCUCUCUGUUUGCUCGUACCAGGGCAAACCCUUCAGUCAGUCACUCUGUAAACAUGAGGUGUGGUGGGGGCAUGACUAGCCUGGCUAUUCCAGAAACAGUCAUUUGCUUAUUUAUCUUUAUGAUUAUCCCGUUGGUCAGUUUCUCCUCAAGCUUAUUAACUCCUGGCUUCAAGGUUCUCCAAGAUUCCUGGGGGAAGAGCAAGUCUCAUUUCUGGCAGUAGCCCUGUCCUGCUUUUAUUUCUGCCUGAGUUGCCCAACACCUGGUCCCAAAAGUUUUCUUUUAGCUUUUUAACUGGAAAUGUAUUUGGUGUUAAUUCAUUCAACAAAUAAUAAACUGAGGGACUUAUCUGGACCCUGGAGAUAC